rnacentral:rRNA from 1 species
UACAGAGGGGGCAAGCGUUAUUCGGAAUUAUUGGGCGUAAAGGGCGCGUAGGCGGCUUUGCAAGUGACGGGUGAAAUCCCUCGGCUUAACCGAGGAACUGCCUGUCAAACUGCAUGGCUUGAGACCGGGAGAGGUGAGUGGAAUUCCCAGUGUAGCGGUAAAUGCGUAGAUAUUGGGAGGAACACCAGUGGCGAAGGCGGCUCACUGGACCGGUACUGACGCUGAUGCGCGAAAGCGUGGGGAGCAAACAGG